AUUGCACGAAGAAACAUUCAUUAUUUGUUUUAUAUAAUACCAAAAUAGACUAAUAGAUUCGUAUGAGAAGCAUUUUGAGGGAUGCGAUUUAUCGAAAACACAAAGAGUGCAAUUGUACUAUACGUUUUAUUCCAUUGCACUCGCGGAGAUUGCAAUGGAACGUGUUCCAUUUCACUCUUGGGAAAUGGAAUUUUCUAUUCAAUAUCACGUGACCAUAAACAGCCAAUUAAAUUAUUAGAAUUUAAUAAGGUAUUAUAUAAU